AACGCACCUUGCGCUCCUUGGUAUUCCGAGGAGCAUGCCUGUUUGAGUGUCAUUAAAUUCUCAAUCUCUACAACUUUUGUUGUUAGCAGGUUGGAUGUGGGGGUUUAUUGUGGGCAUUACAACCUACUCCCCUGAAAUGAAUUAGCUGGAAUGCCUCGGCAAAUCCAACUAUCAGUGUGAUAAAUAUCUUACUGUGGUUGUUGCUUUUGAGGGUAUCCGCUUCUCAACUGUCUGCAAAGACAACUUGAAUCAUUUUGACCUCAAAUCAGGUAGGACUACCCGCUGAACUUAA
rnacentral:misc_RNA from 1 species